CUAUUUUGUUAUGUACACGCAGAGCGUCCGAACCACAGCACGGAAAGAGGUGAAAAUUUGUAUAGUUGUAGGAGAGUAGGAGAUCUAUUUUGCAAAAUCUCAAUCGAUAUAGCAAUUAAACAAUAAUGCAUCAAAAGCAUUAAUCAGACAAAAAUUAGGUUUAAAAAUAAAAAUGCAGCCAACCAAAAACUUAGAGGACCUUUAACUAAGGACAUAGGUCAAAAAGGAAAUGAGAUUGUAAAAAAGUUCAUGCGAAUGGAAAAGAACUACCCACAACAUACUAAGUAAAUGGAGCAGGCAGCAGCAUAACCAAAAAUAUAUAUCCACAACAUAAUUGGUAUUUAGUGUGGUGGAGUGCUACUUCAUAACUGAUCUUUACCGAAAAUUCAAAUUUUUACGCACCUAAAGGAAGCACACCGAAGACGACCCUGAAUCCGAUAGUGAUGAUGAUGACAAUAUAACUAUGUGUAAGCUAAAAAGUCUGCUUGAUGCUCAAUAUUCUUAACUUGCUGCCUCGUUCGACAGCAAAUUUAAUAGUUUUAAGUCGUUCAUCAGGAAGAAUGUCUCGAACCUAACCAAGAAGCACAAGCAUACGGAUGACAAAUGUACUGAGCUUGAAAGCAGACUGAGAACUAUUGAAGGUAAGCUCAAAAACUUCUCUAAUGUUCCUGCUCCAGCGGAAGAUGUCUUCGCUGAAUUCGCUGAACGUAAGAGAUGUGAAUCGAACGUCGUCUUGUUAAAUGUCACUGAAUCAACGAAAGCAGACGGUAAAGACCGUCUUGAAGAGGACGGAGCUAAUAUCCUCUCAGUUCUGCCUCCGGACUUGACUGGUGUCGUGGACCAGUUUAAGAUUCGUCGUUUGGGCCGCCCAUCGCUCGGGCGCUUUCGUCCACUUCUUGUUGAAACUCCAUCUCCAUGCCAUAGCGCAUGCAAAACUCAAAUCUAAAAAGCUGGAACCCGCUGCUGGAUCUAAUAAAGUGAUCUUUAAAUCUGAUCUCACUCCAUCUCAGCUAAAUCACCUCAAGAACCUCCGGGCGCAGUUAGAUACCUUAGCGAAGAAUGGUGAUACAUC